rnacentral:rRNA from 1 species
GACGAACGCUGGCGGCGUGGAUUAGGCAUGCAAGUCGAACGGUAUCAUCCUUUCGGGGGUGAGAGAGUGGCGAACUGGUGAGUAACACGUAGGUUAUCUACCCUCAAGACGGGGACAACCCAGGGAAACUUGGGCUAAUACCGGAUGUGAGCAACUUUUAGUUGUUUGAAAGGUGGCGUAAGCUGUCGCUUGGGGAUGAGCCUGCGUCCUAUUAGUUAGUUGGUGAGGUAACGGCUCACCUAGGCAAUGAUAGGUAGGCGGCCUUAACGGGUGGUCGCCCACACUGGGAUUGAGAUACGGCCCAGACUCCUACGGGAGGCAGCAGUCGAGAAUAGUCUACAAUGGUCGGAAGACUGAUAGUGCGACGCCGCGUGAACGAUGAAUCCCUUCGGGGUGUAAAGUUCUUUUAUAUGUGAGCAGUGCUUCUUAUAUUAACAGUAUGGGGAGAGAGAUAUUAAGCAUAUGAAUAAGCAACGGCUAACUCCGUGCCAGCAGCCGCGGU